rnacentral:rRNA from 1 species
UACGUAGGGACCGAGCGUUGUCCGGAAUCAUUGGGCGUAAAGAGCGUGUAGGCGGCCACUUAAGUCCUGCGUGAAAUCUUGCGGCUCAACCGCAAGCGGUCGUGGGAAACUGGGUGGCUAGAGUGCGGGAGAGGAGAGUGGAAUUCCUGGUGUAGUGGUGAUAUGCGUAGAUAUCGGGAGGAACACCAGUGGCGAAGGCGGCUUUCUGGGCAUUUCCUGACGCUGAGACGCGAAAGCGUGGGGGAGCGAACCGG